ACCAGGAAGUACGGCACUGAGCAGAGGAUAAUGGGACAGUAGUGUUUGUCUAGUCCUACUUUAUUUAGACUGGCUAACACCGUUAACCUUUGACACACCUACUCCCUGUAGAAGAGAUGAUGAGUUGCAGGUGCACUGUCUCUAGGGGAGGUGAGGCUGAAGGAACUGCCUGGCUUGAUCGCUAACCGAGCUCCCGUCAACCCCAUACAGGGAAUACUGGCCCUGCACAGAGGAUAGCAGUGGUACUACGGGAGGUACUGUAUAUAGACGUGAGGAAAGGUGGAUUGGGAGGAGUGGCCAUGCUGCUCGCUGGAUACUGCAUCCUCAGCAACACCUGCAGCUACCCACACAUCAAGCAUGAUCGCUGGAGGAAGUACCACUGAGCCCUGGCGGUAAGGGUCAGACUAAGGGGAAACAUCUGUCACUCAGGGACGGAGCCCCUAGUGGUGGAGACCAGAUGUGCAGAGCUGUAGUCUCGUGUUACCUGGAAAUAAAGGCUAGAAGAUCUGAAGCUAUGGCGAGUUCUCUACAUAGAAUCAUCUGUGAGAGGUGGGAGAAUGUGAACAGAGGCAACACUAAGGUGCUGAGCGAAAAAGUCUAAUUUCAGUUUCAUGUCUUCUAGUCUAUACCAGGCCUAUAUAUACAAAGGUAUGUGGACACCUAUUCAAAUUUGUGGAUUUGGCUAUUUCAGCCACACCCGUUGCUGACAGGU